UUUAACCCUGAUCAAUGUUUGUCCUUCUGUCAGGAUGGACAGGACAGUGGAGAUGUUGAACUUUCUGCAGGGGGUGGGGAACCUCUGGUGUCCUGUCGAAGAACAGCAGUAUGACCAGUAUCCCACCUGCUCCCCGGUUCCCCGUGCAGCCCAGCCAGGGGUCUGGAAGUUUCUUCAAGAGUCAGAGAGCAAGUGCCUGAGGCCUGUAAGACCAAAACAUUGCAACCACCCGCCUAAGCAGUGGGUCCCAUAGCAGCCAGGGUGGAUGUGGCUGCAUUCCAAUACAGCCUCAUUCAUUGGUGCUGCUUGUGUGUGCAUGGUGUAGGACUACCCUCUGCAACAUGGGUUAGCCUCGGGGCAUGAAGAAAACCAACUGUCUCUCCCUCCAUUAUCAAUCACCAAUAACUCCUCAGAUGGGGUGGGAUUUGUGAGCUCCUGCCCUGUUCACGCUGGAAAUUUGGCUGGCUUGAAAAAAAAAAGAGAGCACAUGAAGUUGGGUAUGAAAAAGUGGAGGGGGUAAGGGAGAAAUUGAAUUGGAGGGGAGAGGAAGGGGCGGAUUUGGUCAAAACACAUUACACACAUGUAGAAAAUUCUCAAGUAAUUAAAAAGAGUCACUCCUUAGGUCAGAAAAAUCAAUCAAUAAAUCUUUUUAAAAGAUUUCAGAGACAAAACAUCACAUGGUUUUGUUUUUCAUAUGUUGAUAACUAAAAAUGGUUCAUUGCAGAUAUAUAUUUAUAUUGGUGGGCAAAUCUGUCCAUGGACUCUCAGAGGUUAGAGAGGAAGGGAAAAAAAAACAACUAUUUACAGAAUCUUACCAUGUCCUGACUACAAUGUUUUGUUCAUAUUCUGUCUUCUGGUAAAGGAAUGUCUUUGUCAAGAAUGUGUGUGUGUGUGUGUGUGUGUGUGUGUGUGUGUGUGUGUGUGUGUGUGUGUGUGUAUGCUUCAUUCACAUUCCCAAAGCAGGGUAUGGGGCCCAGAGACUGUAGCUUGCUGACCCUGGCUUGGCAGAUGGGCAGGUGCAUUUCAGCAAAUGUAUAUGUAAGUAUGGGGGGAGAUUUCACCACAUCCUCCCUCACUGAGAGCCUGCAUGGAGACAAGGAGACCUCCACCUCACUUCAUGCACUCACUGAGACACUGAAUGGAGACUGGCGCCCCUCAAUAUCCCCUUCAUGCAGUUACCCACAUGACUAUACCCUCUCACAGGUCAUACUCACAUUCACACAUUAACUCUCACACUCAUGAUCACACACAGACUCACUCAAGUCACACUCACAGAACUCAAACACACACACACACACACACACACACACACACACACACACCACAGACUCACUCGAGUUACACUCACAGAACUCACACACACACCCCUCACACUGAUGCACUGACUCAUAUAUGUUCCACACAUUCAUAUACAAAUUCUCACACUCUUGCAUAUGUGCCAACUCUCUCUAACUCUCACACUCAGGCACUUGCACAACCACACAUUUCUCUCAUACACAAGCAUGUUAACUUCUAUAUUCACACCAGCUUUUACACACACAUCAAUUCAAACUCAUUCUUACACUCACAUAGCCUCCAGCUCACCUGCUGUGAACAUGCUGAGUUCUGAUCUUUUGGACAUAGGGAUUCCCGCCCCCCCACCACCACCCCGUCAGAAAUCUCUUGAGUCAAGUUCACACUCAUAACCAACCAGCUCUCACAGAGCUCUCUCUGCUUGCCAGGUCAACAUUCAGAAAGAAUGAACGAAAACUCGGGGCCGGGUAGUGGUGGCGUAUGCCUUUAAUCCCAGCACUUGGGAGGCAGAGGCAGGUGGAUCUCUGUGAGUUCAAGGCCAGCCUGGUCUACAGAGUGAGUUCCAGGACAGGCUCCAAAGCUACACAGAGAAACCCUGUCUCAAUAACAACAACAAAACAACAAUAACAAAGAAAAAGAAAAAAGAAAACUCGGGUUCCUAAAGAGGAGGAGCCAGCCUAAACUUAGGGUCCUGCAGAUACGUCUGAGCGCCUAACACCGUGGUCUUCCUGCCUGGGAUGUUUGUCCCCCUUCUUGGCUCUGCUCCCUCUUGGAAUUCUGGGAACUGUCCUUUACUGGAACUUCUGCACGCUUUUGGAUGACCUUCUUCAGGCCAAGGGCACCUCCUUCAGGCCAUGUGCGCUGCUCGCUCCUGUCAACAGCUCUAAGAGGCACUGUUCUGUGGCAUCCAGGCUGGAGUGACAACUGAGAGCAAAGAGUUCAUCUCCCUGACAGCCAGUAUAAAUGUACGUCUGCAAUCAACAAUAUUUAGUUAUCAACACAUAAAAAGCAAAGAACACACAACAUUUUGUCUUUAGAGUCUUUUAAAGAUUUAUUGACCUUUCUAAUCUAAAGGAGUGACUUUUAUUAUUUGAGGAUUUUAUACACAAAUGUAAUGUGCUUUGAUCAAAUCCAUCCUUUCUCUCCUCCCCCAAUUUCUCCCUUAUUCCCUCUCCAGCUUUAGCUGGAGGGGAGAACUAACCGUGUCUAUUAGCCAGCCGACGGCUGAGCGGUUCUGCAGAGGGCGAGGGUCCGAACUCAAGCUGCCCUCCACAGGCCAGGGGCAUCUGCAUGGCAGACAUUGGUCUUUGUCAGGUGCAUGUCUCCAGAAACAGUCCCACCAAGCAGCCCAUAAUGAGACCGCCGGACCUGGGUGUCUGUUUUGGUGGGUGGUGAUAAGUACCACAGGCCAAUGUCCUGACCACCUGUGGAGCAUGGCACAGUUUCUUCACCUGUCCUUGGGCCCAGGACACAAGGCACUCAGACAUGAAAUGUGGACACACAUGCCAGACUCAGCAUGGGAGAGAGGACGGCGGAAGACCUGAAAUCCAGUUAGGAAAAGGAAACACCAAUCUGGACUUCUUUUCUGAACAGCGGUAUCACAUCCUGACUUAGGGUCCCAGGGUAGACAUCAGGGGCCCAAGGGGAUGAGUUAGAGGGAGGAGGUGGAAUAAUGUAAACACAGUAUUUAUACGUAAAAUUCUAAAAAAAUAAAAAUAAAAAUUGCUAAAAGAC